rnacentral:rRNA from 1 species
UACGUAGGGUGCGAGCGUUACUCGGAAUUACUGGGCGUAAAGCGUGCGCAGGCGGUUGUGCAAGACAGAUGUGAAAUCCCCGGGCUCAACCUGGGAAUUGCAUUUGUGACUGCACGGCUAGAGUGUGUCAGAGGGGGGUAGAAUUCCACGUGUAGCAGUGAAAUGCGUAGAGAUGUGGAGGAACACCGAUGGCGAAGGCAGCCCCCUGGGAUAACACUGACGCUCAUGCACGAAAGCGUGGGGAGCAAACAGG